AUGGCGGAUGCACCUCUGUACAAGCAGCGCCACACGUACACCAGGGAGCUCCACGACGUCGACCUCCAUGGUAACCACAAGCUCCACAUCGUUUGCAAAAGCAAGGCCGAAGACGUGGACAAGAUGAUGUCCACGUUCAGGAGGAAGCUCGGUGGAAUGACCGUCAAACUAUUCGGCGUUGAUGUCGAGUACACGCACUACGUGAAGCCACAGCCAAUGGAACUAGACAAAUUCCUCAUGAAUGGUGAGUACACCUUCGUCGGAUUCGCCGUUGAAGGAGACAAAAGCAAGCUGAAGGUAUUUGGUUUGGAGAUCAACUCCGACAACUACAUUGAUAUUUAG
rnacentral:rRNA from 1 species